UAGUCGUCUAGAGUUGUUCAACGGCAGCAGCUUUUUUGGCAUUUGCAACUACGGUUCUGUCCAUCCAUGCUCGACAAAACUUGAUAAUUUUUUGAUACCCACUCUCCAGUGCAUGCAUGUCAUAUGCUAACUGAAAAGAAAAGAAAACAAGUCAAAUCAAGUAAAAAAAAAGAGAGAAGAGCAUCAUCAACUUACGUCAAGUAUCGUCGGAUAAAAGGAUGAAAAUAUCUC
rnacentral:lncRNA from 1 species